rnacentral:rRNA from 1 species
AUUGAACGCUGGCGGCAGGCCUAACACAUGCAAGUCGAGCGGAUGAAGGGAGCUUGCUCCUGGAUUCAGCGGCGGACGGGUGAGUAAUGCCUAGGAAUCUGCCUGGUAGUGGGGGAUAACGUCCGGAAACGGGCGCUAAUACCGCAUACGUCCUGAGGGAGAAAGUGGGGGAUCUUCGGACCUCACGCUAUCAGAUGAGCCUAGGUCGGAUUAGCUAGUUGGUGGGGUAAAGGCCUACCAAGGCGACGAUCCGUAACUGGUCUGAGAGGAUGAUCAGUCACACUGGAACUGAGACACGGUCCAGACUCCUACGGGAGGCAGCAGUGGGGAAUAUUGGACGAUGGGCGAAAGCCUGAUCCAGCCAUGCCGCGUGUGUGAAGAAGGUCUUCGGAUUGUAAAGCACUUUAAGUUGGGAGGAAGGGCAGUAAGUUAAUACCUUGCUGUUUUGACGGUACCAACAGAAUAAGCACCGGCUAACUUCGUG